rnacentral:rRNA from 1 species
UGAGGAAUAUUGCUCAAUGGGCGAAAGCCUGAAGCAGCAACGCCGCGUGCGCGAUGAAGGUCUUCGGAUCGUAAAGCGCUUUUGAGAGGGACGAGAUAGGACGGUACCUCUUGAAUAAGUCACGGCUAACUACGUGCCAGCAGCCGCGGUAAAACGUAGGUGGCAAGCGUUAUCCGGAUUCACUGGGCGUAAAGCGCGUGCAGGUGGCUUCGUAAGUUGGACGUUAAAUCUUUCGGCCUAACCGGGAGGUGUCGUUCAAUACUGCGGGGCUUGAGGGUAGAAGAGGGGGGUGGAAUUGCCGGUGUAGUGGUGAAGUGCGUAGAUAUCGGCAGGAACACCUGUGGCGAAAGCGGCCCCCUGAUCUGCUCCUGACACUCAGACGCGAAAGCUAGGGGAGUGAACG